UCGGGAAUUUUGGGCAAUGGGCGAAAGCCUGACCCAGCAACGCCGCGUGAAGGAUGAAGUAUUUCGGUAUGUAAACUUCGAAAGAAUAGGAAGAAUAAAUGACGGUACUAUUUAUAAGGUCCGGCUAACUACGUGCCAGCAGCCGCGGUAAUACGUAGGGACCAAGCGUUGUUCGGAUUUACUGGGCGUAAAGGGCGCGUAGGCGGCAAUUCAAGUCAUCUGUGAAAUCUCCGGGCUUAACUCGGAACGGUCAGAUGAUACUGCUUUGCUAGAGUGCAGAAGGGGCAAUCGGAAUUCUUGGUGUAGCGGUGAAAUGCGUAGAUAUCAAGAGGAACACCUGAGGUGAAGACGGGUUGCUGGGCUGACACUGACGCUGAGGCGCGAAAGCCAGGGGAGCAAACGGGAUUAGAUACCCGUCUAGUCCCUGAGCGGGCUGGCAAGGCGCAU
rnacentral:rRNA from 1 species